UCCCUGGUAGUCCAGUGGUUAGGACUCCAUGCUUUCACUAUAAAGGCCCAGGUUCAAUCCCUGGUCAGGGAA